CGAACGCUGGCGGCGUGCUUAACACAUGCAAGUUCAACGAGAAAGUAUCCUUCGGGGUGCGAGUACAGUGGCGAACGGGUGAGUAACACGUGGGUAACCUACCCUCGAGAGUGGAAUAACCCUGCUAACGCGGGGCUAAUACCGCAUAAUGCAGCGGCACCACAUGGUGAUGUUGUUAAAGGCGGGGAUCCUUCGGGACCUGUCGCUUGAGGAUGGACCCGCGUUCCAUUAGCUUGUUGGCGGGGUAACGGCCCACCAAGGCUGCGAUGGAUAGCCGACCUGAGAGGGUGGCCGGCCACACUGGGACUGAGAUACGGCCCAGACUCCUACGGGAGGCAGCAGUGAGGAAUUUUGCGCAAUGGCCUAACGGCUGACGCAGCAACGCCGCGUGAACGAUGAAGCUCUUCUUGAGUGUAAAGUUCUGUUAGGAGGGAAGAACCGGCUGGUAGCUAAUACUUAUCGGCCCUGACGGUACCUCCAGAGAAAGCGCCGGCUAACUUC
rnacentral:rRNA from 1 species